UACGAAGGGGGCUAGCGUUGUUCGGAAUACUGGGCGUAAAGCGCACGUAGGCGGAUAUUUAAGUCAGGGGGUGAAAUCCCAGAGCUCAACUCUGGAACUGCCUUUGAUACUGGGUAUCUUGAGUAUGGAAGAGGUAAGUGGAAUUGCGAGUGUAGAGGUGAAAUCGUAGAUAUUCGCAGGAACACCAGUGGCGAAGGCGGCU
rnacentral:rRNA from 1 species